ACCCUUGUGUUGGAGACUUUAUUCAUUCCAUGGUUGCCAAGCUAUAAUUAGGGCGGCCAUUUCUCAGAACAUACAGCACACAAUUAAAUAAAUUUUCUUUAUACCCAAACUAUACUUAACCCCUUUCCUUUAAAGUCGUGGGUAGAUCAACAAAGCUAGAGCAGUAAACAACAUUGGAUUUGAGGUAAGCAAAACAUAACCCUUAAAAAAUGUCAUGGACGUCAUUGUGUGUUCAUGUCCAAAGAUUGUUUUGUUACUUGGGAGUUUUCUUUUGAAGUUGUUUUUGGUAAUUGUUGUAUUUGAUUUUAAUUUGUUUACUGGAUCGGAAGAUCUAGGGUGUUUUUUCAUUUUUCUAAAGAUCGUCAUUGGAGGGCAGAUUAACUUCUUCAUCUAGGGUUUUCUUUGCAUGAGAGCUGCGGGAAAAUUUGAAAUUUUAGAGUUUUGAAGGAAUCCGAAUCAUCUAGGGUUUUGGGUUUGAAGGCUAGUCUGGGGGACUAGCCUCAUCUGUGCUGAUGCAGUGGGGAAGAUCAGCUGAAGAUAGAGAGAAAAAGAAGCAGAGGUAGAAGGACAAUGUUAAGGUUAGGGUUAGGAUUUUCCAUGGGGAGUUCGGGCAUCGGGAACAAGUUUGUGUCGGUGAAUCUAAAUAAAUCAUAUGGGUAGCAGGUUGGUUCGGGGUUGGGGUAUCACAGAGGUGGGCGAUCGAGGCUGGGUGGGGGGCAUGGAGGAAUGUUGGUUCUAUCAAGGCCUAGAACGACUCAGGGGGAUGCAAGGCCUAAGGGUUCCAAGCUUGCAGUUCAUCCCCAUUAGAAUUUGUCGUCUCUGCGUAGAGAGCACAGGGGAAAACAAAAAGUUGCAGUUGACCAAGAGCAAACUGCAACCGUGAACCUGAUCAACAUCACACAACUUUAAGAAGCAUAACAAAGUCAUAACAAUUACACAGCACACAAAAUAGAUAUAGACUUGGCAGGAACUUCGAUUCUCUACCACUUGUUUACUCUGUUUUCAAUCUGAUCAUUGUAAUUGCCUUUUCUUUAAAAUAUGUAUAUGAUUUUUUUAAGAAUAUCAAGAUGAGUUUCCACUAA